UACGUAGGGUGCAAGCGUUAAUUGGAAUUAUUGGGCGUAAAGGGUGCGCAGGCGGAUGUAUAAGUCAGAUGUGAAAUCCCCGGGCUUAACCUGGGAAUUGCGUUUGAAACUAUAUGACUAGAGUGUGAUAGAGGGGAGUGGAAUUCCAUGUGUAGCAGUGAAAUGCGUAGAGAUGUGGAAGAACACCGAUGGCGAAGGCAGCUCCCUGGAUUAACACUGACGCUCAUGCACGAAAGCGUGGGGAGCAAACAGG
rnacentral:rRNA from 1 species